UAAUCUGCAGAAUUUAUCUGACAAAGGAUCAUUGAAUGAAAUGUGAACUGUUUCUUCCACCAAAAUUACUGAAGUACUGAGUACUCUACCAUUUUCUAUUUUCAACUUCAUAUAAUUUAUUUAAUGCUCUAAAGACUUUCCAAGCUCAUCUGAAUAAAUUUGAUCGACAAGCUGUUGAAACGUAUGAAAAAUAUCUUAAAUAUUUAUGCUGUUUUCCCAUUGUUUCCACAGUCCUUUCACAGAAGUUACAAUGGAUAAGCAGAGAUUAGCACAGAGCUCUGGUUUUUAUUUAAAAGGCACUUAGAUUGAACAAUCUGUGAUACUACAUUGUACAUUCGAAGUCACAGAGUGCAAGUUUGCCAAAGCCACAAAUAUAUAGUGUUUGAGUAGCAUUUUGCAUUGGAGAUGAAACAAUAUGAAGGACAUUUCACAGCACUUGAGAUACAGCAUGGAUUCGGCCCUUCAGGCCCUUCGAGCUGUGCUGCCUAGCAGCCUCCAGUUUGCCUCUAGCCUAAUCACGGAACAAUUUACAAUGACCAAUUCACCUACCAACUGGUACAUCUUUGGACUGUAGGAGGAGACCGAAGCACCUGGAGAAAACCCAUGCAUUCCACAGGGAGGAAGUACAGAUCCGUUAUAAACGACAUUGGAAGUGACCUCUGAACACCAGUGCUCUGAGCUGUAAUAGUAUUGUGCUAACCAUUUUGCUGCCGUGGCACCCAGUAACACUUCAAGUAUUGCAAUCAACCUCAGUAUUUUGCUUAUGUUUUCUAAACAUGUGGUUGUAUAAAGUCGCAUCCACUGGGAGAACAUUAUGAAAUCCUAUAUACCUGACAGAACUCUGCCUCCGUUCAUGACAAAGCAGAAAAUUAAGCAGCAUUCUCGUGGAUUUUGCCUUGGCUCUCUCAAGAUACAAGGUUCUUUUGAAGACCCUGACUUCGGCUUUUUGUGGAAAUGGGUCCUGCUCUCAGGGCCUCGCGACUGGCUGCUUUUCGAUAUGCCAAGGAUGCAGCCUGGAAGACUAGCGUGCCUUCAGGGUGCCGGAUUUCCAUGGCUCUGGAGAUGGACUGAGUCAAGGCUGGUGCUGCUGCCUGAUGUGUCGUGGGAGUACACAGAAGAUUGAAAACAACGAGCUGGCUGCUGGCUGUGUGCCCUCAAGUUCUUUGGGCACAGAACUCGGAAAAAGAGAUGCAGCAGACUUUCAACACCAUAAUUCAGCGAGUUGUUUGUUAUGUCUCUCCUCUCGCUGUGAAAUAGGCACACCUCUUUUUCCCUUAUUAGGGAGAGAGAGAGAGAGAGAGAGAGAGAGAGAGAGAGAGAGAGAGAGAGAGAGAGAGCCUAUGGUAUGCCAAAUACAAGGUGAACAGGUAGUCUUUGGGGCUCUGUGUCUUUACUGAAGCUUCGCUGACACUUCGGUGCUCAGGUGGGGGGGUAUAGCUUUGCUGCUGCUAAUGCGUGAGGGGAGGCUGGAGAAGGAGGCUUUGGGGUUCUAACAUUUAACUGUCAUUUAUUCUUUGGGACGCUCCUCUGUUUUCGUGGAUGUUUGCAAAGAGUUUCAGGAUGUCUAUUGUAUACAUUUCUCUGACAUUACAUGAC